AAUGUAUCCUGAGGUGGGGGACAACCCUGGGAAACUGGGGCUAAUACCGCAUAUGAGCUGAGGCUCAAAGCCGCGAGGCGCCUUGGGAGCAGCCUGCGUCCGAUUAGGUAGUUGGUGGGGUAAAGGCCUACCAAGCCUGCGAUCGGUAGCUGGUCUGAGAGGACGAUCAGCCACACUGGGACUGAGACACGGCCCAGACUCCUACGGGAGGCAGCAGUGGGGAAUAUUGGACAAUGGGCGAAAGCCUGAUCCAGCAAUGCCGCGUGGGUGAAGAAGGUCUUCGGAUUGUAAAGCCCUUUCGACAGGGACGAUGAUGACGGUACCUGUAGAAGAAGCCCCGGCUAACUUCGUGCCAGCAGCCGCGGUAAUACGAAGGGGGCUAGCGUUGCUCGGAAUUACUGGGCGUAAAGGGCGCGUAGGCGGCACUGUUAGU
rnacentral:rRNA from 1 species